CUUCCUCGAGUGGUUAGCCGAAAUUAGAAAAGGAAGAAUACCAUUUUAUGAAGCUUAGGGUUUGGCCAAGUAUUUGGUGCAUGCAUUUGUCAAGUUACGGAUUGAUCGGACGGAUCGACUGAGAGCUCACACUAUCCAGCCAAUUUGGUAGGUUUUGUAUUUCGUUUUGAGAUGUGGCAUGUAUAUAGGUGUUUUGUUGUAAAUAUGUAAAUUUUAUACUAUAAUGGUGUUCCUAGUGAAAUGUUUGGUUUUGAAUAUGGGUUUAAAGUGUUUUUGGUUAGAUUGAUUUUUAAUGGUCAAGAGCUAAGUGGUAAUACUUUGAAAUGGUAA